UGUAUAUCUGUGGUUGGAUAUACUUUUUUUUUUUUAAUAUUAAGCACCAACCAAAAGAAGAAAGGAGGAUAGAAAAAAUAAAAUGGAAGAUGUAGGGUGGGCAGAUUAGGGCUGCGUUUGUUGCUUGCUUUCAUGUUACCAUCAUAGCGUUUUUGCCACUUACAAAGGAGGAAAAAAAUCAAUUCUGUGCCAACCCAGACAACAGAGACCUGAGUGGGGGUUGGGAAGAGAGAUUUUUCAGCACAGAAUCAGACUCCUUCUCCAAAGAGCUGUGUGGCCUUCACCUGCAAGGCGACCUCUUCCACAAGCAGAGGCCAGGACAAAAAGAGGCACCUGUGAGCGACAAAGACGGUUUCCUUGGUUUCCCUCACGGCGCCAAGCGGAGUGGCCGCCUCCCACCACAGGGCCCCCUAAUGGGCGCUUUUGUCCUGCGGGGCAGAGGGACCUCAUUAGAAGGCGCUGGUGCUAAAGGGAAAUGCAUUUCCAGAACAGGAGGUUUCAUCAUUCCUAGCGUUAGCGACAGAAUGGUGACAGAAGCUCUGUGGACGUAUUUUCCAGCGUUCAGUUCACAUCAAGGAUGGGUAUGCACUGGCGGAAAAGGCCCUCAGGAGGAAGCACUCAUCUUUAACAAGACCUGCUUUCUCAGGACUGCAAACAAGAGAAAAGCCCAAUAAGAGGAAAGUGAAGUGUGAAAAUCCAUUUCAAAGAACUUUACUGAGAACUCACCAUGUCAGAGAGCUUCCAUUAAUACAGUUGCUUCAAAACCAAUAGGCAGAACCCAAAGUAAUGGAUGACUCACCAGGACUUUUAGCAGCUAAUGGAGUACUCUGAGAAAUGCUGUAAAUCCAAUAUUUUUGCUGAAAAAUUAAUGUGUUAUGGGAGGGAGCCUCUUUUCUAAUCACUUACCCACCCCCACCCUCUACUUCUAGUUCACCAUCAGCAUCUUUAGCUCUUCUAAUUUUUGCCAAAGCUGAAUGCAGUUCUUUCCCAAUUUUCUUAUAUCAUUUUAAGUAUUAUAUAUGCUAUCUUACCAGGCCCACUCAGAGAAACAGCACUUAUCUUUAAAAUUAUUUUUUAACUACUCCCCACAGCCUACGGCCAAUAAAAACUCUGUAAACUAUGUUAAAUAUACCAAAGUAAAGUUUCCAGAAUUCACAGAGAGAUCGAUAAAUAUUUACUAAGUGCCUUCUACAGACAAAGCCCUGGGAAGUAUAAAGGAGCAAAACAUGCACAGUUCUUGUCUCUAAACAUGGCUUACAAUGUCAUUAGGCAUAUGACCAAAGCUAAUAAUAAUCCAAGGCAAAAAACUUGGGAGAUCAUAUACAAAACAAAUGCUAUAGGAGUUCAAAGUGGGGAAAGACUGUGGCUGGUGUGGUCAGAGAAAGACAGCUUUGCACAAAGCUGAAAAACUGCAGGAGUGAUGGAGAACAUUUCUCCCAAACAGGACAUUUUCAUAAAAGAGAAAUCUAGAAACUCCACCUGUAAAAUCUCUUUCUUGGAAUAUAUCUCCAUAACAAACAGAACUUUAAGGGAAAAAAUGACCCCAGUUUCAAAAACACAAAGAAUUUCUGGGAUUCUGAAUUUGGACUAACAGAUAACUCCACCAAAAUUCAUUCUUUACUUGUCUCUGUUUGAAGGUGACAUAUUUCUGGAUGAUCUGGGCUUCUUUGGUCAUCCACAGUCUGUGCCCCUAGAACUAAGGAAGGUUGUGUACAUCUCAGACAGUUUUCACUUGCAACUGAGCCAUGUCAGCCGGCUCCAACUGAAUUGACUUGGGACCAUUCUACUCAUUGCAUAUGGCAUGAUACAGACUGCCAGAACCCUCAUUUCCUUUAGUGCCACAUUAUCAAUUAGGAAUGGGAAGGAUCCUGGCACAUGCCAACCCAACUCCCAAACCCUUCAGUAUCUGGCAGUCUUCUAUUCUGUACAUGCACUCACCAAAAUAUACAUAAACGAAUGUUCAUAGCAGCACUAGCCAUAUUAGCCCCAAACCGGAAACUAUCCAAAUAUCCAUCAACAGUCAGUAGACAAAUUGUAGUAUAUUCAUAUCAUGGAAUACUACAAAACAAUGAGGAUGAAUUUGACAAGCAUAACACUUAAUCCCAAGAAACCACACACAAAAGAGAACAUACUCUAUGGUUUUAUGUAAUAUAAAGUUAAAAAGAAACAAGCAAAACUAAUAGCAUCAGAAGUGAGAAUCAUGGUUACCCUGAAGCAGGGGGAUUUAGGGACUGGAAGGGCCACAAGGGGGAUUUCUAGGGUCCCAAAAUGUCUGUUUCUUAGUCUGUGAGGUGGUUACAGGGAGCAUUUACUUUAUGAAAAGUCAUCCAACUGUAUACUUAUGAUAACAGUUUUCUAUAUGAAUGCUUCAUUUCAAUAAAAAGUUUACCUUAGAAAAACUGAAAACUGUUGUAUUAAAGGAUUAUAGUAGGAUGAGCAAAACUUACUUUACGGUUGAAAAGCAAUGUGUAUAUUCACAUCUAUGAUUUUUAUUUAAACUUCUUAUUUAAUAUGGUGACUUGGUUUUAAUUUGUUUAGCCACUAAUAUAUGUUUAUUUAGAUAAGGAAAUAUAUACUCAUAGCAAUGUCAUA
ensembl:lncRNA KIF5C-AS1 KIF5C antisense RNA 1